rnacentral:rRNA from 1 species
GAUGAACGCUGGCGGCGUGCCUAAUACAUGCAAGUCGAGCGAACAGACGAGGAGCUUGCUCCUCUGACGUUAGCGGCGGACGGGUGAGUAACACGUGGAUAACCUACCUAUAAGACUGGGAUAACUUCGGGAAACCGGAGCUAAUACCGGAUAAUAUAUUUAACCGCAUGGUUCAAUAGUGAAAGACGGUUUUGCUGUCACUUAUAGAUGGAUCCGCGCCGCAUUAGCUAGUGGGUAAGGUAACGGCUUACGAAGGCGACGAUGCGUAGCCGACCUGAGAGGGGGAUCGGCCACACUGGAACUGGAACACGGUCCAGACUCCUACGGGAGGCAGCAGUAGGGAAUCUUCCGAAAUGGGCGAAAGCCUGACGGAGCAACGCCGCGUGAGUGAUGAAGGUCUUCGGAUCGUAAAACUCUGUUCUUAGGGAAGAACAAAUGUGUAAGUAACUAUGCACGUCUUGACGGUACCUAAUCAGAAAGCCCCGGCUAACUACGUG